UACGGAGGGGGCAAGCGUUAAUCGGAAUUACUGGGCGUAAAGCGCACGCAGGCGGAUUGUUAAGUUGGAUGUGAAAUCCCCGGGCUCAACCUGGGAACUGCAUCUGAUACUGGCUAGCUUGAGUCUGGUAGAGGGGGGUGGAAUUCCAGGUGUAGCGGUGAAAUGCGUAGAGAUUUGGAGGAAUACCGGUGGCGAAGGCGGCCCCCUGGACGAAGACUGACGCUCAGGUGCGAAAGCGUGGGGAGCAAACAGG
rnacentral:rRNA from 1 species